UACCUGAUCUGCCCCUUUUUAAAAAUCUGUAGCUAUGUCACACACGGUUGUUACAGCAGCCCUUUGUUCACUGAAAUAUGACAUAUAUAUGACCAUAUAUAGUGACUGAAGGGUAUUGGUGGGAAAAAAUAGAAAUAGCAGGGCUUUUCUUCAGCUGGAAUUCACCGGAACUCAGUUCUGGCACCUCUCAGGUGGGUGGCAUUGCCAUUGUAAGAACAAGGGAGGCGUUAAUGGUGAGUUCUGGCACCUCUUUUCUGAGAAAAAUAGCACUGAGAAACAGUGGCCCUAACAUGUAGUGUUUUCAAGAAAACAGUACUUUCCUAAACUUUGCUUAGACUGUUCAGAGUGCACUGAUUGUGAGAUAAGACAAACAGAAUUUCAAAAUGACAUAAAGGAUUGCUAAUAUUUUGCAACAGCCUCUCUCAUUCAUGACAUUUUUUUCUACCUUACUUGAUCUUCUUUCAACAUGUUCAUGCACUUGGAUUUUCAAGUGAAAAUAACAGUCAAAGAAAUGUGGACGUUUCAGUAGGGUUAGAAGUUGUCCUCUUGUCCUCAACAUUCCGUCUGUUACUCAUAAUGGCAUUAUUUCAGCGGCUGAAAGCCUAAACCCAUUAUGCAAUUAUUCAAUUGCUUUCAGAUGGGGACUGAGAGGUGGGAACUGACUACAGUGCAAGGGAGGCCUAGACCAAACUCUCCUACUUUUCAGUUUAACUCCUGUAAAAAUCACAGUGGGAUUUCUUAUUCGUGGAAAGCAAAGUUUAAAUUUCAAAAGGGGGAAGGGAGAAGAUAUAAAAUCAUGGGUGCUAGAACUCAUUUUAUUUGUUUGUUUGUUUGCUUGUUUGCUUGCUUGUUUGCUUGCUUGAUUUCAUUAAUUGUUUGCCAUAAAAGUGAUAUUACUUAGACACAAUUAAAUCACAUGAGAGAUGCUCACCACAGCGAACAUUUUACAUGUGUCCGAUUGGUCACGUAAGGUGUCUAAGGUGUCUGAAAAGGGGCAGGAGGAGAAUUGGGUGGGCUUAUGCACACUCCACCGAUGUACGCAGGGGUCAGGAAUGGAACCCCUAUGCAAAAUAGUCACCGAUGUUACGAAGAUAUAUCCCUUCUGGGAAGGUUAUUGUGUUUGCAUGCAUUACACACACACACACACACACACACACACACACACACACGUGUACAUAAACCCACACCUGCCAAUGCCUUCUUGGUAUGCAAACAGUUUAUUAUUUAUUAUUUAUUUGUAUACCACCCUUCUUCUGAAGAUCACCGGGCUUUUCACAACAUUAAAAUACCAAAUGAAAACACAAUGCAUAACUUGCAUCUUUACAUAGACUGUAAGAAGACCAAAAUGUUCACAUUUUAAUGUAUCUGCCUGGAGAGAAUGUAGUUCUCAAUAUAUAAUUUGCUUGUCAACAUUUAUAUACCUCAGGAUUGUAAAAUCCCUCUAAGUGGUUUACACUUUAACAAAUAUGCAAUUUCAUAAGGAUCAAGUUCCCACUGUACAGCUGGCAGGCCCUAGAAAGAAGCUUCUUAGAUGCAGUGCCUUUUUGUAUAUGGCUGCAUUCAGAAAAUACUUUAUUCUGUUUACCCAACAUUUCCUUACUUGAUAAUUUCCACAUUUCAUGUGAUCUUUCACACAGCAUAAAACUAAUGGAAUGUAGCGGAUGUUUAGCACUAAUUCCAGGCUAAUUGUUUCCAAAAAAAACCCCAUUCUUUUGCAACCUUUUUAAACCAGAAAAUAAAGGGAGUUUUGUGAUGCAAUUUUCCAUGAUAAAAUUUGUGGCGGUCUUCCAGCAUAUAGUUCUUUCAUGCCAUUUAAAAGUUAAUGUGACAUUUUUCAAUUUAAAAAGCCACAGAUCCAUAAUGCAACAGGUAAUACAGUGUUAAAGGAACAUUAAGAUCAAGGAUAGAAGCACUAGCAUUAUAUUCAGGAAAACAGUUUCAUAGUACAAUUGGGGAGAGCAAUAAUGUGAAAAAAUGACUCGGGAAAGGCAAAGCUUGGCCAUUUAUGAGAUCAUGAUUUCUAUGCUUGUCAAAAUGAGGAAGCGUGCUUCCCUCUUCACCUUAUUCAGCUACCGUCAGUUACCAUUCAUCACUGACCCUUCCCCUCUCCCUGCCCCCCAGUAGUGGAUGUCUGAGGCCUGUCAUUGCAUGCAGGGAGAGUGGAACUCCCAGAAGGCAGGGGCUAUUUCUGUCACAUAAGGAUUUGCAGAUUUUUAGAACAAUUUAGGCUUUAACUUCUGCAUGAUGACUCAUUACAUCUGGGAGAUUGCACAGUUGGUCAGAUUUGUCUCAAUGAGUUAGAUUUUCUGAGCUCCCCCCGCAAACACACACACACACACACAUUUGGGUCUAGGAGAAGCAGUACCGACAGCAGUGGGCUUGCCACCUUUCCCUAAAUUUAGUAUUAUAAAAGCUCCAUGUCUGGAGGCAGAGUUGCCUUUCCACUGGUGUCUUGGCAUUGAAUACAAAUGACUGGGGAAUUCUCAAACAGCUACCCCCGGAAAUAGGAGAGCCAAUGCAGGCUGAAACCUCAUCAGCUAAUUUAGAAUGGUGGGGUUUUGGGGGAGAGGGGAGAGACUGACAAGCUGUAGCUCUUCUGCAGGAAGAUGCACGAGCCACAUCCUCUUUUUCACCUGGCUACCUAGCUAACCCCUAGCAAAGGAAGGUUCUGCUGGAUCAAACAAAAAACUAAUGCUUUCGAGAUACUUCUGUUAAGAAGGUUGACUUGGUGUGUGGUUGGGGGCAUCACUUAGGCUUCUUCUUCUUCUUAAGACCACAGGACAAGGCAAACCGUGAUGUCAUUCUCUGUCCUGCCUUACAAACUAUUCUGAAUGUUGGAGGGGCAGGGCUAGUUCAGCUGCAGUUUAGCCCAUGAACUCAGAGAUGAGCAGGAAGGUCGAUUCUUUAUUCAGAAAGACAAAACACAACAGAGAACUCCAUGGGCAGGACUAGCCUGGUGUGGCAGUUGCCAGAACUGAGGAUCUGAGCCUCCCACUUCCUCUCAAGGUUCCUCCCCAGGUAGCCGUCUUCUCAACCAUCUCAAACUGCUUUGAGGAGGGGCUCUCUGUGCCUUUUGUUCUGCUACAGGUCACACGCUCCUCAUUCUUGGGCACAAAGGAGGAAGGGAGAAGGAAACAAUGGAACUGGCAGGUAGCUGGGAAUCUCACAGCCUCAGUCUCCUACUCCUCCUCAGCUGCCUCAGUCUCACUUAAAUCUGUUGCUUGCUCAGCCUCCAACCCAUCCGCACCCCCUUCAUCCUCUGACCUUUCUCCAGCAUCCCACCACCAUUCUCCUGGCUCUGGGGCUUCCCACUCUGAUGCUUCCCGGGGGGGGGGUUCCCCGCUGUAGCCUCCCACCAUUCCUCCUCAUCUAGCCAGUCCCUGGCAUAGAGGAAGAGACAGCUGUCUCUCCUUCUCUUCAAUAUUCCAAGUAACUACAAGAAGAUUUCAAUCCAUAUGCACCCCUCCAUGUGAAAGCCAAGAUCCUCACAUGUCUCCUCCAGAUUGAUUGAUUGAUUUUAUUUCAUAAAAUUGCACGGGGGGACGGACUUCAAAACAGUUUACAAAAAAAGCUAAAAUCAUUUAAAAAAUCACUAAAACAAUUACAGCCGUAAUUUAAAGCAUGCAUAAGGUUGAAACUGCAAUAGAUUAGACUAAAACAGAUUAAAAUUCAUACAAACUUUCUAAACAUCUGAGUAAGGUAAAGGUAAAGGGACCCCUGACCAUUAGGUCCAGUCGUGACCGACUCUGAGGUUGCGGCGCUCAUCUCCCUUUAUUGGCCGAGGGAGCCGGCGUACAGCUUCCGGGUCAUAUGGCCAGCAUGACUAAGCCGCUUCUGGCGAACCAGAGCAGCACACGGAAAUGCUGUUUACCUUCCCGCUGGGGGUAAACACUUGCACUUUGACAUGCUUUUGAAUUGCUAGGUUGGCAGGAGCAGGGACCAAGCAACAGGAGCUCACCCCAUCGCGGGGAUUCGAACUGCUGACCUUCUGAUCAGCAAGUCCUAGGCCCUGUGAUUUAACCCACAGCCCCACCUGCGUCCCUCAAACAUCUGAGUAGGCUUGUCUAAUUAAGAAUGUCCUUGCCUGAUAUCAAUAGGCAAGGAGGUUUGGCGGUGCCACACUAAAUGGUUGAGCUUUUACAGAUGCGGUUUGGGUAUUAUGUGCCCAUUCCACCAAUUAAAGCAGUUGAAUGGGCACAUACGGGGUAAGGCCAGUGCUUAUUUUCUUCUGGGGGUACUCAAGGGCACGUAGUACCAGCACCUGUUUUUAUAAUCUAGAAGAAAAGUACUGGGUAAGGCAAUCUCAUAGGUAAACUGCUCCCAAGUUGUUAAGGGCUUUACAUACUAAAAGCAAACAAACGUUGAACCAGUAGCAGAUUGGCCACCAGUGCAGACCUCUGAACACCAAAGCCACUUAAAGCAAGACUGGGGAACCUGCAGCCCUUCCGACACUGGGGCCUAAAACUCCCAUCAGCCUCAGCUACUUUGUCCAAUGGUCAGGUAUGAUGGAAGCUGUAGUCAAGCAACAUCUGGAGGGACACAGGUUUCCCACCCCAGAUUUGCAACUUUGAAGGCCAAUACCAGAACAUUUAAACCAAGCCUGGAAACAAAAUAGGCAGCCUAUAAAGAUAAUACUACUAAUAAUUUUAUUAUUUAUACUAAUUAUUUAUACUUUAUUUAUAUUUAUUAUUUACACCUUUAUUAUUUAUAUAUAUUUAUAUGGGGUAGCCCCAGCCACUGUGGGCAGCUCACAACAAAAUAUUAAAAACACAACUUCCCUACACGGUGCUCCCUUCAGAUGCAACUAGAACCACAUGCGGGUUCUGGGUCUGCUGGGACUGUGUCUGCCCUGCCUGAAUCACCACACCCUACAUAGUCACACAGUAGGGGGGGAAAUCCUGAUGCAGAGAAGCUGUUCUACAAUGUUCUACACCUGAUCAUGCAGGUUUCUUAACUAUGUGGGGAUCCUACAUAGAGCAGGCUCCCUGUUUCAGACACCCCCCCCACCUCCAAUCUGUGGGUGGCGAGGCUGGUGAAUGCCACCCCACUUCUCCCCUUCAUACAGUUAGCAUCCUGUGAGGGUGGCUUGUCCAAUGUAGUCCUGAUAAAUCGACAGAAAAUGGGACAAAGAUCAAGGGUGUCUGUGCGUGUAUGGGAAAUUAAUAUAUGGCUUCAGCAGCCAAUCCUUUGUUGCAAGUCUCCAGCAAAAGAUGAUUGGCCAAGGCCCUACAGGGUUGGGUCCAUUUGUUUGCUUUUUUAACUCUGACGUUUGACUACAAUAUGGCGUUAGUUAAAUUAUAUUCCCUUCUUAUAUGAGUAAUAUUAUAUGUAUAAGGAUUAAUGAAAGCACAUCAAACACUCCUUGGUGUUUCUCCAGAAAUAUAUACACAGGGAAGUGAUAUUAUUGAGCAUUAGAUGGGAUAAUCUAAUAGUUUAGGAAAGCUUCUGAAUUUUUGUGCGGGUUGAGUCUCCUUUUUCCUCCUAAGUCUGAGUCAAUAAUAUUAACUAAGAACAGAUCCAUAAAUAUUUACUAUGGAACACAGAAACACAUGUGAAUUUCCUCAGAAAGCCCCAUUCAGCAAUCCGAUGUUUAUUUUAUUCAGUUUGCUGCCGGUGCUCUGGGAUCAAUGCCAGGGUUACAAAUGUUGUUGAAUAAAUCCCAGAGUGACCUUCUCCCCUACAUCUUAAGUCUUAUUAGCAUGCGUUCAUUAUGAAAAUAAGAUCCACCUUCUCCUCCUCCUCUAUCCUUCUCCCCAUAGAGCAAUCCAUUAGGAAUGGCAUCAAACAGGAAAUAAUCAUAACCUCAACGUAAAAGAAAGAAUGAAUGGGAGGAUGAAUAGCAUCAGGGGAGCAUGAUGGAAUGGUGGGUGGAGGAACAGGUGGGGAGUGUCUGUUGAGAAGAACUCCCUUGGGCUGAGAAUAGAGAAAGGAGGGUGUGCAGAACAGUGAGACCAGCAAGGGAAAAGACCUAGGGCGUGUACACGCUGCGUGAUAAUGUGCAUUCAGUGCUGGAUGCUGGCGCCUUUUGGAGGUGCUGUAUACAUGAUGUCAUCUCUGUCUUACACUAUUUGUCUUUCUAAAGUGCAUUCUGCUGGAACGGUUAUAAUCUGAUCAGGUCCCAAAAUGCACUUCUCGUGUACUUGCUGAAUACAUGUGUACACAGAGAGGGCUUUCUCAGCUCAUUUCCUGUGGGGGCAGAUCUACAGAUGCUGCCACUGUCCCUUGCCAUGUUUAACUUGUUUAUGAAUGAAAUAGGCAAGACAGGAAGCACUAACUCAGCCCCCUCUGUAUACCAGUAUAUAGCUUUUGUACAUCAAUACAUAAACACACCAGUUUCCAGCCCUUCUCUUUCAAAAGACUGUGAUGUAUGUGUCUAGAUAGAUAGAUAGAUAGAUAGAUAGAUAGAUAGAUAGAUAGAGUCUAUGGCAAAAACACCAGUUUGAAAACAUGCCCACAGACAACUUGAGUAGUAGCUGCUGCUUUAGAUGAGGUUAUUGCACAAAGGUGUGCAAAUUGCGAGCCACUAUGUACAGAAGAGCACUGUGAAAAAGUGACCUCUGUGUGCUUCAAAGGCUACAUGUGUACACAGCUAAAGAUAAAAAGCAAGUGGUUAGGACAGCUGAUGAAAGCAAGGGGUGAAGAGAUGAAAACAGCAUGGCUCCCAUCCCAGAAGGAAGGCUAUUCUGCCUCACUCCUUCUCCCAUUACAUGUGGACUGAGUAGUACCUUUGAACCAGGAACUGGGGAACUAUCCUGACAGUUCUGAACUGGUCAUUUAGAUACAUACUGAGUCAUUAAAAACAAAAAAACAAAAAGAGCUGCCCGAAAACACAAUGUACACCCUGCUCGCUGUUUUCCCUUCCAAUCUGAUUUGAAGAGUUUGGGUUUUGUUUUUUUCCUUUGAGAACAUGGGAUCUCCGGUGCUCUCAUGGCCCCUUGGAGAGCUCAUUAUCCAAUUUGCUAUCAUCACCCAGCAACAGUUCACACCCUGAAGUUAGAUUUAGUGGUUGCAAUGCUUACUUCCAGCACAGUUCAAAUGAACCAGGUCAAAGGAACACAACACUGGUAAUUCAAGCACAGAUGUUUAAUAGAGACAAGUUCAGAUCUCAGCUUGCCAGGACGGCAGUGUUUAGGCAUGCAAAAGAUUCCAAGCUGUGUCCAAGGCAUCUACAGAUCAAAUUGGGCUUUGACAAGUUGUUGUAGGCUAUGAUACGAAGGGUUGUUUCACAGACAUUCAAUACAUUGAAUAUUGUACCCAAACCACUUAAUAUAUGAAACUCCUGUCUGCUGGCCACAUUUUGCUCUAUCUGGGUCUUCAUAAGCCUUAUUUCUGUCCCAAUUUUUGCCGGGGCCAUGUAACAUUCAUAAUUCAACAUAGAAUUUUUAAAAACAUAGAUGGGCAGGCCAUGCUAGUUUUUACAAAGGACAGUCUUAAGCCACCAAACUUUUAGGAGUCUUUGACUAUAGAAAUGACUAUAGAGGAGUGGUGGUCAUUUCCCCCAAACCAUGACUUUGUGGAUUCCAAGCACCACUCACCCGAUGUCAUUGUGUUGUUAAAUGAUUGACAGGAGGGUGGUCCCAUCCACCUUUGAAAUUUGGUCCUUGAGGCUGAUCCAGAUAAGGAUCUGGCCAGUGGAGCCACAAAAGUCCGCCACCUCUGAAGUAGAGAGAAAGGGGCCCUUUUUGGGUAUCCUACUUGGGUAUUCUACUUGUCUUUAAAACAAAUAUGUGAGCAGUUAGAAUGGGGACAAGUGUCUUCCACUGCACUCAUCCCCAUCAACAAAAUUCUCAAAGGUGUACUUCCAGGGGUCUGAAUUAGACAGGUAGCCUCCACAAUACAGGAAGCUACAAAAGUUUGUCCACUGAAUCAGCAUUUCCCAGCCAGUGGCUCGUGAUCCAGAAGCAGGUUAUGAAGCCUGUGCAAGUGGGUUGCUAGGUUUAUAAGUAAACCCAAAAUAAUUAUUGCAUGCAAAUCCUUAACUGGCAUGAUGAAUACCUCUGACAACUUCUUUCUUUUGCCAGCCUUGUACGCCUCCUUCCGGCAACUCCUGCAGCCAAGCUGGUGCCACACGUAUUGCUCUCGCUUUUCUUUGGACCACAUCAGUGAGGCUGGGCAGCCCCGGGGAGUGCUCCUAAUGCUGCAGUUCAACUGGAUAGAUGGAUGUCAACAACAAGUAUAAUGCAGUGUUGACAUUUGUAACCACACUACUCUCUGGUGGCUAGCGGAAGAUACGGCAACAGUUCACCACAAGGUGCUCAUACGGGGAUUUGUUUUGAGUGACUAUUACAGCUCACCUGAUGCACAGGUGCUGCCUUUGGCUAGAGCUAGCUGAAGUAUUCCAUGAAGUGCUUAUCUAAUACAGCAAAAGGGAUGGA